AUUGAACGCUGGCGGCAGGCCUAACACAUGCACGUCGAGCGCGCGGCGGACGGGUGAGUAAUGUCUGGGAAACUGCCUGAUGGAGGGGGAUAACUACUGGAAACGGUAGCGAAUACCGCAUACCAUCAGAUGUGCCCAGAUGGGAUAAGAUAGUAGGUGGGGUAACGGCUCCACUAGGCGAAGCUCCCUAGCUGGUCUGAGAGGAUGACCAGCCACACUGGAACUGAGACACGGUCCAGACUCCUACGGGAGGCAGCAGUGGGGAAUAUUGCACAAUGGGCGCAAGCCUGAUGCAGCCAUGCCGCGUGUGUGAAGAAGGCCUUCGGGUUGUAAAGCACUUUCAGCGGGGAGGCGUUACCCGCAGAAGAAGCACCGGCUAACUCCGUGCCAGCCGCCGCGGUAAUAC
rnacentral:rRNA from 1 species